rnacentral:lncRNA from 1 species
GUUCCAAUGGCCAGUAUCUACAGAAUCUCUCUCCACAGCGUUCCAAUGGCCAGAGUCUACAGAAUCUCUCUCCACAGCGUUCCAAUGGCCAGUAUCUACAGAAUCUCUCUCCACAGCAGGUUCCAAUGGCCAGUAUCUACAGAAUCUCUCUCCACAGCGUUCCAAUGGCCAGAGUCUACAGAAUCUCUCUCCACAGCAGGUUCCAAUGGCCAGAGUCUACAGAAUCUCUCUCCACAGCGUUCCAAUGGCCAGAGUCUACAGAAUCUCUCUCCACAGCAGGUUCCAAUGGCCAGAGUCUACAGAAUCUCUCUCCACAGCGUUCCAAUGGCCAGAGUCUACAGAAUCUCUCUCCACAGCAGGUUCCAAUGGCCAGAGUCUACAGAAUCUCUCUCCACAGCAGGUUCCAAUGGCCAGUAUCUACAGAAUCUCUCUCCACAGCGUUCCAAUGGCCAGAGUCUACAGAAUCUCUCUCCACAGCAGGUUCCAAUGGCCAGAGUCUACAGAAUCUCUCUCCACAGCGUUCCAAUGGCCAGAGUCUACAGAAUCUCUCUCCACAGCGUUCCAAUGGCCAGUAUCUACAGAACCACUAAAGAUUGUUUACGAUACGCCAGCCUUCAUCUUAAAUGGACAUGUUUGGUCUCAGUGAUAUUCCUCGUGGUCACAACAUAAAAGCUACUGCUUAAAGAAAUCCUUCAUGUCAUUAUUUGUUGCGUGUACAAUGGCGCCAUGAAAGCAUGUGAUAAAUUUGACUCUGAACUGAAAUUCAGUCAAUCAACAGUGUUAACAAAAUUUGUUGAAAUAUUUUUCAUUAUGGAAGUUUGGUCAUUGCAGCCAACUAGCAUAGAACAUUAGAAACAUUGAGUACGUUUACAUGCACACAAAUAAUGUGAUAUUUAAUUUUUUAUUUUAUUUAACUAGGCAAGUCAGUUAAGAACAAAUUCUUAUUUACAAUGACGACCUACUGGGGAACAGUGGGUUAACUGCCUUGUUCAGGGGGCAGAACGACAGAUUUUUACCUUGUCAGCUCAGGGAUUCAAUCCAGCAACCUUUCAGUUACUGGCAACAACGGUCUAACCACUAGGCUACCUACCGC